rnacentral:tRNA from 1 species
GCGGGGAUGCCGGAGUGGUCAAACGGGACAGGUUUAGGACCUGUUAGCUUAGUGCUUACCUAGGUUCGAAUCCUAGUCUCCGCA